rnacentral:rRNA from 1 species
CAGGCGGUUUGUUAAGCUAGAUGUGAAAGCCCCGGGCUCAACCUGGGAUGGGCAUUUAGAACUGGCAGACUAGAGUCUUGGAGAGGGGAGUGGAAUUCCAGGUGUAGCGGUGAAAUGCGUAGAUAUCUGGAGGAACAUCAGUGGCGAAGGCGACUCCCUGGCCCAAGACUGACGCUCAUGUGCGAAAGUGUGGGUAGCGAACAGGAUUAGAUACCCUGGUAGUCCACACCGUAAACGAUGUCUACUAGCUGUUUGUGACUUUAAGUCGUGAGUAGCGAAGCUAACGCGCUAAGUAGACCGCCUGGGGAGUACGGCCGCAAGGUUAAAACUCAAAUG